AGUGAACGCUGGCGGCAGGCCUAACACAUGCAAGUCGAACGAACCUUUCGGGGCUAGUGGCGGACGGGUGAGUAACGCGUGGGAACGUGCCUUUAGGUUCGGAAUAACUCAGGGAAACUUGUGCUAAUACCGAAUGUGCCCUUCGGGGGAAAGAUUUAUCGUCUUUAGAGCGGCCCGCGACUGAUUAGCUAGUUGGUUGAGGUAAUGGCUCACCAAGGCGACGAUCAGUAGCUGGUCUGUGAGGAUGAUCAGCCACAUUGGGACUGAGCCACGGCCCAAACUCCUGCGGGAGGCAGCCGUGGGGGAUCUUGCGCAAUGGGCGAAAGGCUGACGCAGCCAUGCCGCGUGAAUGAUGAAGGUCUUAGGAUAGUAAAAUUCUUUCACCGGGGACGAUAAUGACGGUACCCGGAGAAGAAGCCCCGGCUAACUUCGUG
rnacentral:rRNA from 1 species